rnacentral:rRNA from 1 species
AUACGGAGGAUCCGAGCGUUAUCCGGAUUUAUUGGGUUUAAAGGGUGCGCAGGCGGCCAUUUAAGUCAGCGGUUAAAUCGUGGGGCUCAACCCCAUUCUGCCGUUGAUACUGGGUGGCUUGAUUGCGGUCGAGGUUGGCGGAAUUCGUUGUGUAGCGGUGAAAUGCGUAGAUAUGACGAAGAACACCGAUUGCGUAGGCAGCUGACCAGACCGCAAAUGACGCUCAUGCACGAAAGUGCGGGGAUCGAACAGGAUUAGAUACCCUGGUAGUCCGCACAGUAAACGAUGAAUACUUGUUUUCGGCGAUAUAAUGUCGGAGGCAAAGCGAAAGCGAUAAGUAUUCCACCUGGGGAGUACGCCGGCAACGGUGAAACUCAAAUGAAUUGGCGGGG